rnacentral:rRNA from 1 species
GAUGAACGCUAGCGGCAGGCUUAACACAUGCAAGUCGAGGGGCAGCAUGAAGGUUAGCAAUAACCUUUGAUGGCGACCGGCGCAAGGGUGCGUAACGCGUGAGCAACUUGCCCGUUUCAGGGGGAUAACCGGUGGAAACGCCGACUAAUACCCCAUGGCAUCAUUAGGAGGCAUCUCCUUCUGAUUAAAGAAUUUCGGAAACGGAUAGGCUCGCGUGACAUUAGCUAGACGGCGGGGUAACGGCCCACCGUGGCGACGAUGUCUAGGGGUUCUGAGAGGAAGGUCCCCCACACUGGAACUGAGACACGGUCCAG